AUUAUAUCUAAGAUUUUUAUCCAAUUCCCAUUUAAUGUUACUAUAAUUCAGGGGAAAAAAAGGAUUCAAUCAUCUUUUCACUGCUAUUUCAUACCAGCCAUCUGGGAGACUCUGGAAUGAAAAAGAGUCCAAAGACUAGAAUUGCACAAGGAAUAAGUCCUGCAAUCACUCCACUUGCACAUGUUACCUGAUUUAUAGUUGUUAGUGCUCCUCGAAGAUUCUUUGGUGCAAUUUCAGCGAUAAAUACUGGUACCUUGUCAUACAUUCAAUAAAGGCAUCACGGUCGUUAAGAACAGCUCUAGAGAGUAGAGAGGGGAGACUUACACAGGAUCCAAACUCAAAUGAACCACAUACUGCAACAACGGUGCUGAGUAUAUUGAUACAAACGGAAAAGAGAAGAAGCUUGAAGCAAUUUGUUCAAGGUGAAGAAGAUAUGGAAAAAUGGAAGGUGGAAAUUCCAGGUGAGAGUUCCAUUUUUUUUGUCA